AUAAAUCAAGAGGAAAAUGUGAUGGCUCCACACAGUAUUUAGCAAAUGAAGAAAGUUGGAGCUGAUCUUAAAUGGCUUGGAUGUGAUUGCCAGCCAGGGGCCGGCGCACUUGAGCCUAAGAGCUGGGGAAGAGCGAGCGAGAGAGGAGAGAGAGAGAGAGAGAGGCUCUCCUGCUGGUUGGGUUUGGUUGUGGCAAGCCCCGCAGGAUCCAGCCAUUUCUUCCACUGACAACACUCCGGGAAGGAGGAGCUUCCCCCGCGCCGCGUAGAAGGCGUCAGAAUCCUCAAUUUCCAACUUAGCAUCUUGGCAGGACCUUUCGCAAAGCCAAAAGCAGAUCUCGAAAAAAGCCUCGCGGUCCAAAGGCAAAAAAAAAAAAAGAAAGGCACCCUUGCUAGCUAGCGAGCCGAGCGAGCAGCAGCGGCAGCAGCCGAGAACCAGGAGCAAGGUGCUGGGCUGCUGCUGCUGCUAACCCGCCCGCUGCCCCACCUGGCAAGAGGGCUUAGAAAAAAAAAAAAAAGUCACCUAGAAAAAUCAAAGCGAGCGGCAGCUCCUGGCUAUUUUGCUGCCCGGGUAUAUGUAUGUGUUUGGCCAUGUCGUAUCCUCAGGGUUACUUGUACCAGCCCUCCGCUUCCUUGGCGCUCUACUCGUGUCCGGCUUACAGCACCAGCGUGAUUUCGGGACCCAGGACCGAUGAACUUGGGCGAUCUUCUUCGGGCUCCGCUUUCUCGCCUUAUGCCGGAUCUACCGCUUUUACUGCCCCUUCGCCCGGUUACAACUCCCAUCUCCAGUACGGCACAGACCCGGCAGCCGCCGCCGCCGCCGCCUUCACUUCAUACGUGGGCUCACCCUACGACCACACACCAGGUAUGGCAGGUUCCCUGGGGUACCAUCCCUACGCGGCGCCCCUGGGCUCCUACCCCUAUGGAGAUCCAGCCUACCGAAAAAAUGCCACCCGGGAUGCCACCGCCACCCUGAAGGCCUGGCUGAACGAGCACCGCAAGAACCCCUACCCCACCAAGGGCGAGAAGAUCAUGCUGGCCAUCAUCACCAAAAUGACCCUCACCCAGGUCUCCACCUGGUUCGCCAACGCCCGGCGGCGGCUCAAAAAGGAGAAUAAAAUGACCUGGACCCCCAGGAACCGGAGCGAGGACGAGGAAGAAGAGGAGAAUAUCGACCUCGAGAAAAACGACGAGGACGAGCCCCAGAAGCUGGAAGAAAAGGGCGAUCCGGAGGCUCCCGAGACAGGAGGAGGAGAAGAGCAGAAGGCAGCCCCGGGCUGCGAGCGGCUGCAGGAGCCCCAUUCCCCGGCGGGCCAGGAGGCCGAGGGCGGCCUGAGUGACUCGGAUUGUAAAGAGCCUCCGGAGGAGAGGCUGGAGGGGAGGCCGGGCCCCCCCAAAGCGGCCGGCCCUGCGGCCUUGGUGCAAUGCCCGGCCAGCCGGAUCCUGCAGCAGGCGGCGGGUGGCGAGGAGCUCCAGCACCAGUACCGGCCCCCUUCAGCAGCCGCCGCCGCCCCCCACCCGGGAGAGCUGCACCCCAUCGCCCCCUCCAGCAACAGCACGUCGGUGAUCCACUCGCCGCAGCAGGCUGCCCUCGCCAAACCCAAACUCUGGUCCCUGGCCGAGAUCGCCACCUCCGCGGACAAAUCGAAAGAGAGCAGCAGCGAGGUGUCUCCGGGAGCGGGGCCGAACCAGGGCCCUCCCUUGGCCGGGAGCAGCACCUCGCAUUCCCCGUCGCGGUCCCCCUCCUCCCAGUGCCCCUUUCCUAACAGCGCCGUCCUCUCCCGGCCCCUUUACUACGCGUCUCCGUUUUAUCCGGGCUACACGAACUAUAGCACCUUUGGGCAUCUUCACAGCCACGCUGGCACCAACCCGGCCGCCGGAGCCCCCAGCAGCCAUUUCAAUGGAUUAAACCAGACUAUUUUAAACAGAGCAGAAACCUUGGCUAAAGAAACUAAAAUGAUCAGAAGCCAAUCCCAAGUAGAGCUUUGCAAAGACUCACCUUACGAACUGAAGAAAGGCUGGUGGUUCUGCUCCAAGUAUUCACCAUUUCCCCAAGCUUCUCAAAGUCUCGCCACGUCAUGGGUGUCAUCCUUCAGGACCAAGAACAUUGGAUGGAAGUCCAAUUCAAGCCAGCCAAUGGGGCUCCUUAAUCUUCUACUUCCAGACCCUGCCAGCCUAUGCUCUGGAACUCUUUCUGGCUGCCUGAGGAGUUUCUUGGCAUGAGGGGUAUCCUUGGGUGGCACAGAGGCUCUGUCUCAUCCCCUCAUCUCCUCCUUUCACGCCAGUGCAUUCCUGGGAUAAAGGAGAUAUGGCCAGGGUGCCUCCACUCUCCAGCUAUCCCCCAGCUGUCGUUGGAGCUGUGGGCAUAAGUAAAAGCAGCCUUUGAGGAAGUCCCAAGAAGGCUCCACAAUGGUGGCAGAAAGCCACCUUUGCCCUCCCCUCUCCAGUGCUGUUCUGAGUAUAGUUUAGCCAGACUAGAGAAUCUGACCUAAUCACUGUAGCAGAAAAAUUCUCACUCCAGUCAAGAAUGUCUUUAAUAUGAAAAAUGUACCUGUUUUUAAGCAGAUCUUUAUUAGCUUGAAAGGUUAAAAUAGAAGCUGUCACGGAGUCUAGUCUAGGAGACUGAUGUACAGAGAAGCAUCUAUUUAUAUAUUUAUAUUCAAGCUCCCAUAACAGAGAUUGUGUUUGUUGAAGCCACCUCCUUCAUGUUCUGUGCCAGCCAAUAUUUUGAGAACAGGAGCAGAACAGGAAUAAGUUGCUUUUAACCAGUGCACAUAGGCUUUUAACCCUACUCUAUAAAUUACAUGAUGUAUUUUUAUAUGUGCUCUAUUUUUCUUUCUGUAAUGACAAUAUAAGCCUCUUUCAAGUAACUGAAAUAAGGUCUCAUCUCUAUACUUAACCUAUCAAAAUUAUACCUGAACUGCAUGCCUACAGAAAUUUAGGAAAGAUACUACCCUAUACUAAGAUCUGCAUGAUAUAAAUGUCACUAAAUACACAUUACAGGAUGUUUUAUUCUGAAUUUCACUACUUCAUGGUUGUAACUGCAUCUGUAAUACAAUUGUCAGAAACUGUUUCCCGAGGACAGAUUCUAAACUCUGAUAAAACACUCCAGCUAUGAGGAAGUCAAAAGAUCUCACACACUGUGCUAUAAAAACCAUUUACAAUAGGUAAGAUUGAGCUGUGAUUAGUUAAUAUAAGGCCAGCAUUUUACUACACUUGUAAAAUAGGGCCUAGAUCUUCAGUUGAUAUAAAUUCACAUUGCAUAGCACCAUUGACUUCAAUAUGCCUAUUCACACUAGCUAAGGAUCUGGCCCUCAUGCUGAUUAGCCCUCCUUCCACACUAGCUGAGGAUUUACAGUUAGAUUCUGCCACACUUGCUCACACUGAGUUGUAACCUCACUCUGCAGAUAAUCCCUUUUUUACCCCCUACAAAGGUUUUGGCAAAGCAACAUGAGAAGGGGUGGCCCAGGCCGAACCUGGUCCCUAGUUGUUGUUAUAAUAUAAUGCAUUGCCCUUUCAUCCAUUUUACACAGAAUAUGGGGGAUGGGGAGAGACAGGGGAGGAGAUAAUCUGCAACUGCUCUUCAGUGGGCUGGAGUAAUCUGCUAGAGAGGUAGGAGUGGCCAUGAAUUAAAAAAUAAUUUGUAAUGUGAAAGGAUAGGAAAAGAAACCAAUGAGAUUUUGGGUUGUAUUGGUGGAGGAAUCAUGUCAGGGACCAAGAAGUAAGAGUCCCAUUCCUCCUCUCCCCCCAUUUCUCUGACAUGACUGUAUUGUAUUCCAUUCUGGAAAUCUCAUCACCAGAAGGAUAUUUGGGAGAAGCUCAGAGAAGAGUACUGAAAGUGACUGGAAUGGAUGGAUGAGGAGAGAUGGAAAGUGUAUAGCUAUAAACAGACUGUAAUAACUACACAAGGUAAUCCAGUAUUGAAUGGUGAGACACUCAAAUCUGCAAAGCUGCUAAAAUGUGAACAUUUGUUGUUUAUUAUGAGCAGCAGAGUUCAAAUGUAGCUACUCUGAAAACUUCAGAUAAUAAAAAACGAGACCCUCCUCUGAUCUGUUAAUUAUGUGUCACAAAUUAUAUCUGAAAAUCUGUUACCUAGAUUAUUGUACUCGAUAUCCAGAGCAUUUGGUGAUGAAUACACGUCAGACAGACUUGACAGAGGCUUUGAGAAGCAAACAAAAUUUUACUUGGAAAACAUUAAUAACCUUUUUAACACCUGUUGCUUGAUCCUAAAAUAAACUUUCGACAGCUUCCACCAUUGAAGUCUCUGGGUGUUGCCACAGAAGAACAAAAGAGAUAAGCAGAGGAUCACAGGGUUUCCUCAGCUGGGGAUGUGAGGUUGUCAUGGCACUGGUCAAGGAUGAAGAGGACUGCAGACCAGAUCCCCGGGGGCAUCCAUUGGCAUGGUUCCAUUGCACGCCACGUGAUAAAGCAAUAAGAAUUCCAUGGAAGCUAUGCCUUGCUCCAGAAGAGGAUCAGGAGCUAUAUCCAAUUUAGACCUGCUGAAGAUCUAGCUCUCUGUGCCACUUUCUUUCAAUCACUCUGGUGUAGGUUCUUGGGUUUGGUACAACUAACGCUGGAGGGGGUUCCCAGACUGUGUUCCUGCCUAGAUCUGCCCCGUUCCUUGGUCAGUUUUGGGGGACUUCUCUUAUAGAUACUGCCUGAAGGCAGCAUUUCAUUUCUAAAGCAGAAAGAUUAGAAAUCACAAGUGAUGGUACAAGCAAGCAGAGAAUGAUGAGUAGAGAUCACCUGCCCUGGAAUGGAACUAAGAACUUCCUAGAUUUAGAAAAGGGUAACAAGACUGGGGAGAAUCCAACAGUUCAGAUGCAGGACAGUGUUUCUAGAGGGUAUUGGGGUGAUGUGUUAAUAAUAAGGGGAAAAAGAUUAAACAAGAGUCCUGAUGUUUAAGAAUCACAGGCUAUAUUACAAGUCUGACUGAGUAAUAUGCUUCUCUGGGGUAAACAGAAUUACAUAGCAAUAAAUACAGGAAUCUUACAUGGAAAACCCAGUGUUUGUAUUAGAUCUGGGUCUCCAGCUUCCAAGACCAGUGAUCUGCUACUAAACUAUGACUGCUCUUCCAGCUGCUCAGCCCAAUUAUUAUUAUUAGCUGCAAUUCCACACAUGGAAUAUGUUGUUGUUGUUUUAUACAAAGAGGGGAAAAUGGAUGGAAGCCACAUGUUAAAUUGCUUGUGCAACUCCUGUACUGGGGCUUCAACUCUCACUGCUUGCAGUGAUGGAAUCUUCUAAAUGCAAUCAGAUGUACCAUUCACACUAGAUAAUUAACUCAACAACUUAUUAUUCAGAGAUCCACAUAUUAUACCACAUAACUGAGGCCUUUCUUUUCAGUUCAGGAGCAUGACUCUUAGCAUGUAAAGUUUCACACAGGGUUAGGUCAGCCUUGCUAUAGAAGAAUAUCUUUUAAAGUCAAUCUUACUAGAGAAGAAUAUUCUUUAAAGUAACAGAAGAAUCCACCCAAGAAAUUUGAGAACCUCAUAAUACUUGAGAGUUCCGAGACAAUCUCAUUGUAAUGUAGAACCUAUUUAAAAACAAACAAAACUGAACCAGUUCUCCCCAUAGAACUAACUCACGAUUAAUAAAUAAAUCCCUUGCCAUUAAUACUUGGUCUCCACUUACUCUACUUGGUCUGAAUCUAGCUUUUACAACUUAGUUGGUAGUUUUGUAAUCUGCAGAGGGUGGACACUAGAUGCAGACAUCCCAGAUAUUAUAAAUAUGAUUUCAUACCCAUUUUGUUUUGUUAAAGGACUGUAUUAACACAAAUGCAUCUUCCCAGCAGUCCUGCCAGAGAGGUAAGAAUCAUCCACCUCACUUUACAGAUGGAAGACUCACAAUCCCACUUCCUAGAUCAACAGCUUGCAGAAGGAGAACACACAUUGCCCCGAGUGCAUAGAUAGCCUGUGUUCCUGCUGCUUCAUGGCAAGCGCCAUGGGCUAGUGUGGAAAGGACCAUAGUCCUCACCUCUGCCAGCUCUCUCUGGGGUGACUUGUGUCUUGGGGAAGGCUAGGAGGGAAGCAUCUCCUAAGCUCUCCAUAAUGGCAAGAGUGCUAUGCCAGAGGCACAAGAUGGGAGGGAAGGUUCUUUCAGACCUCCUCUUGUCUUGUACACCCAGGUUAUAGAGCUAGUGUGGGCAGCACUGAUUUUGUCCUCUCUGGUUGGCUUGACAACUGCAGUUCUACUGAGGUGUCCACAGUCCUUAGGUGUCGCGUGUGGCACAAAGCUGUAAUGUUUGGCAAACACUCAGGAUUUGAGUUGGAGACAGAAAACACAGCACUAAUCUUGAUUAUAUAAGCAGCCAUGUCAGAUAGAUCACUCCAGCUUCUGGAAACAUUUAAAUUGCAGCAUAGACAGUCGGGUUCCGACUGGAGCCUGAGCUCUGGGACCCUCCCCGCUUCGUUCCAGCCCAAGCCUGAAUGUCUACACAGAAAGUUUAGAGCCCUGCAGCCUGAUCCCCCGUGUCAGAGUCAGCUGACACGGGCCAGCCAUGAGUGUUUAAUUGCAAUGUAGACAUGUUCUUAGGGUGUGAUUAGAAUCAAUGGGAGUUCUUCCAUCGACUACAAUGGGUUUUGAAUGAGAGCCUGUUCAUGCUCAGAGGCUUAACACAGGUAUUAGCACAGCCACUUGCAUACUAUCAUUUCAUCAUCUCAUUAGCAUAGUUCUCAAUGCUUGUAAUGUGGGACCUGUCCCUACAGAGCCCACCAACCAAGUGCCUUGAAGUAUCUGAAAAAUGUAACUAAUUAUGCAUAACUUAUCUUACUGAGUUAUUGCUUCAAACACAGGAAAUGGAAACUAGGACAACAGGGCAAAUGAAUUCCAUGCCAAAGCAGGAUAAUAGAAAGUUAAAAACAAACAAACUAACAAACAAAAAAACCAGUUAGCCGGGCAUGUUAUUUUGUUAGUCCAAUCAUUUAAAGGGUUAAACUUAAAAAAAAUUGCACUUUUGUACAAUAUAUUUACCUACAUGUGUUACCUUUAACAAAACAAUAGAUUUAAGACAGGGACAUAGGGGAAAAUAUUUCUUCUUAUCUCCUCCCCUAUGGGUGUAUUUACUUUGUGCAUUUCACAGCAGUGUGUGUGUAGACAGUUUCAUUGCUGCCCUUGUAUAUUCAAUCUGUUCCCUUUUGGUUUGGGUGGGUCUCCCCUUCAUCCAAAGCCAUGAAAAAGAUUAAAACCUUGUUGUAAAAUAUUGGCAGGGUACUCAGUGGCUGAAGCAGUACCUAAAACCUACAGGUAACUCUUGAAAUCGACUGGAUUGCAAGUUGAUUGUGUCCCUUUAACAUAAUAAACUAUAAAACACAAUAGCAUCUGCAGGAAGUCUGCAGAUUGCUUUGUAUACGUCUAUAUUAAUAUUUUAUACCACUGUCAUCUCUGCCUAUUCUUAGCCACCUUGUUAUCUUGCACAGUCUGAAAGGAGCAGUUUAGCAAUAGGCUACAUCAUGAGUGUGUGUGAAAAUCAUGCUGCAGCUAGAAGUGUUGUAUCCAGAUGCAGAGGAGUCUCUUGACCUUGACCCUCCCUUAAGUGUGCAGUGUCAGUGUGUGGCUUCAUUAGAAUAUGAAUCUUUUCCCUGGCUGCAGAUAGGAGAGAGAGAACUCGAAAAAGGUAGUGGAACAGGAAUAAACCAACCAAUAUUUUCUCUAGGCAGACAUGUCUACCUUGAAUAUAAUGAGUAAGUAUGUGGAUUUUUUUUUAAAAGGAGCUAAUGACUCCAAAUAUGUUGUUUUGAGAUAACACAGUAGGCCUCAGCAUGACAGUGUGAGACAGAUGACAUGAAGAGAUGAAUUGUCCAAAUAACGGAGACAUGGAUCUGCGUGCUCGGAAACAUUCCAGGUAUUUGCUUCUUAGUUUCCCCGCCCUGCACGUAUCACCCAUGCAGUGUUUUAAAAAUGUACCUCUAAGUGACUACACAUAAUUGAAUGUGAUGAAAGAGAGAGAACAAGAGUGAAUUGCAGAGAUGUAAUAGAUAAUGUGCUAGGUUAUCUGCAGAUACUUGUACACAGCAAAUGGCCCUGCUUGCAGGUAAUCUAUAUUACUUCUGAAUAGUUUGGUACAAAUCAUAUGUUUCUUCUUUUUUCCUGCAGCUCCAGUGAUGUGAAAUGUGGAGUUGUCAGUGAUCACGCUGUAUGAAAUAAACCAAUAAAGUUAAAACAAUAUCUAAGGCUGAGGCACAAACUA